rnacentral:rRNA from 1 species
UACAGAGGUCCCAAGCGUUGUUCGGAUUCAUUGGGCGUAAAGGGUGCGUAGGCGGCGCGGUAAGUCGGGUGUGAAAUCUCGGGGCUUAACUCCGAAACUGCAUUCGAUACUGCCGUGCUUGAGGACUGGAGAGGAGACUGGAAUUUACGGUGUAGCGGUGAAAUGCGUAGAUAUCGUAAGGAAGACCAGUGGCGAAGGCGGGUCUCUGGACAGUUUCCUGACGCUGAGGCACGAAGGCCAGGGGAGCAAACGGG